AUCAUGUUCCAAAGUAUUAUGUACGUAUUCAAUCAAAGAAGGUAGCUUGUUUUCCAGGACAGGCCCUCUUCUAAAGGUCAAAAC
rnacentral:lncRNA from 1 species